UGGGGGAUUUUGGACAAUGGGCGAAAGCCUGAUCCAGCAAUGCCGCGUGUGUGAAGAAGGCCUUCGGGUUGUAAAGCACUUUUGUCCGGAAAGAAAUCCUUGGCUCUAAUACAGUCGGGGGAUGACGGUACCGGAAGAAUAAGCACCGGCUAACUACGUGCCAGCAGCCGCGGUAAUACGUAGGGUGCAAGCGUUAAUCGGAAUUACUGGGCGUAAAGCGUGCGCAGGCGUUUGCUAAGACCGAUGUGAAAUCCCCGGGCUCAACCUGGGAACUGCAUUGGUGACUGGCAGGCUAGAGUAUGGCAGAGGGGGGUAGAAUUCCACGUGUAGCAGUGAAAUGCGUAGAGAUGUGGAGGAAUACCGAUGGCGAAGGCAGCCCCCUGGGCCAAUACUGACGCUCAUGCACGAAAGCGUGGGGAGCAAAACAGGAUUAGAUACCCUGGUAGUCCACGCCCUAAAACGAUGUCAACUAGUUGUUGGGGAUUCAUUUCCUUAGUAACGUAGCUAACGCGUG
rnacentral:rRNA from 1 species